UUUUCUUUUUUCUUCUCUUGUGUUGGAACAUUUCUCAUUUUAUUCCUCUUCUUCAGCGUCUGCUGCAACAGCAGGUUUUCCCCUCCACUAGUUAUUUGCAGCACCGAGCCAAAAAGAACAUGCAUGUUCUUCUUGUAUUCUUUUUCCUGUCUCGUUGUUUUCGCCAAAGAAAACAAAGAUGGCCGAUCGGGCUGGGAGAAAUGCUAUUUAGUGGACGUUGCUAUUUAGCACACUUUUCUCUCGAAAUGGGAGGGGGUUGAUUUUAUGACCUCUGUUGGAGAAAGGGAGAGAUAUCCCGAGACAGGUUACCGAAAUGUGAAAUUGCCUUUUAAAGAAACAGCACCUUUGACACAUUCGUAUACCAAGCGCCCCGAUGAAAUGAUAUCACCAUAUUCCAUCAUCUUUAUUUCCCCCCUGCAAUGCUGCAACAGAUGGCCGGCCUGCUCUUCCAAAAUCUCUUAUAACUUUGUCGCCCCUUUUAUUUAUUUAUUUUUUUCGUUUCCUCUUUAGCAUAUUCUUUUUUUUUUCUGACCAACAGUUUUAACGCGAAGAUGAAAAAAUUCCAAUGCAAAAAUGUCCAGUUGGACCCCCCGCUCUGAUCAAUGCAAAUAUUUUUGUUUUUUUCUUCUUAUUUUUUCUUUUUGUAGUUCAAACGAAUAAAGAGAGAGAGAGAGAGAACGAUCUUGAA